rnacentral:lncRNA from 1 species
CCAUGUCUACACACAUUUUUUUAGCACCACCACCACUGCUGUCGAACACUUCACUGCAAGCAACCAAAUUCAGAAGUUCCGGUGCUCUCUCUUUUAUGAGAUUUAUUGCCCACUCUGUCACGUCUACUUCUUCACCUAUAGUUGACAUCCGUGCAAAUUUGAAAUCUGGAACCGACUGAGACAAUCCACUCAUAUUUUCAACUACCCCUAGAACUUUUAUUCCAACUUUCUUGCAGAAACUAACCUCUUUCCUGACAUCUAUCAGGGAGACCUGUUGUGGCGUAGUGACUAUUAUAGCACCAUCGAUUCCUGUUUCUUGAAGGAACUGAACAAUUGAUAUAUGUUCAUCUGAAGUCCCUGGUGGAGCAUCAACUACCAGGAAAUCAAGCUCCCCCCAG